GAUGAACGCUGGCGGCGUGCUUAACACAUGCAAGUCGAGCGAAGCACUUAAGUUCGAUUCUUCGGAUGAAGACUUUUGUGACUGAGCGGCGGACGGGUGCGUAACGCGUGGGUAACCUGCCUUAUACAGGGGGAUAACAGUUAGAAAUGGCUGCUAAUACCGCAUAAGACCACAGUACUGCAUGGUACAGUGGUAAAAACUCCGGUGGUAUGAGAUGGACCCGCGUCUGACUAGGUAGUUGGUGAGGUAACGGCCCACCAAGCCGACGAUCAGUAGCCGACCUGAGAGGGUGACCGGCCACAUUGGGACUGAGACACGGCCCAGACUCCUACGGGAGGCAGCAGUGGGGAAUAUUGCACAAUGGGCGAAAGCCUGAUGCAGCGACGCCGCGUGAAGGAUGAAGUAUUUCGGUAUGUAAACUUCUAUCAGCAGGGAAGAAAAUGACGGUACCUGACUAAGAAGCCCCGGCUAACUACGUGCCAGCCGCCGCCGUAA
rnacentral:rRNA from 1 species